CUUGCUCCCUUACAUAACUAGAUCAAUUAUAUGCUUCAAUGUGCCGCGGGUCACAGUGCUGUGGCAAGACCAGACGAUGAUAGAGGUUCUGCUCGUGAUGUUAAAUUGCAGUCACAGAUGCUCCGAUUUCAAAAUGAUUUGGAGCGCUGUUGAAAAGAUAAUACGCUGACAAUACAAUGGACUAAUUAGAAAAAUAAAAGCAAUACUUUUCAAUGCGUGAGAUAUAACAGGGUCACAUGCGUGUGUUUCACGGCCAAUACGUGAGAUUUGGCAGUCCUGCGGCGGUUCGAUGGUACAAUGAUUACACUAUACUUGCUUGUUUUGUUACAUAAACUGAAUUUAAGCGAACUAUUAGAAUUUUAGCAACCAGAAAAUGGCGGAGCUAUUUCGGCAUAUUGCAUCUUUAAGUGUAUGGUCCAUUUUAUCAUUAAUAGCAAUGAGUGACUCAGACAACUGCAAAAUUUCACUUUCAACAAGUGGAAAAGGCUGUUCAAAUGCAAUGGCAGUUCGCGUUUUCUUCACAAUGGUGUUCGGGAGUCUUUGUUUUUGAUAUCCCUUAACAAAAUAGUGUGUUGCUCAGUGUCUUUCUACACGGGCUGGUGCCCCAUGUCUUUUUCAGCACAGAGGCUGGUUAACUAGGUUUUAGGAGGUUAUUGGGUCACUCGGCAAUGUUACAGGUUUAAAGGCACAUAAGCAAGUAGGGCCUAGAAUAAGCACAUAGGUUUCUCUAGAGGCCAAAUAGUACUGUAAUAGCACUGUGUUGGCUAGUCUUUCACUUGGAAACGUUUGACAUAAGGGGACCCGCCUCUGUUCACUAAGUGGGUCCAGGACCUGAACUGUUCAUACCUAGGGGGAGAACCAGCAGUCUGAGAAGCAGGAAUCUGUCUACACUGUCACGUCUGCUCCCGCUCUUCCCUUCCUCUGGCGAGAUUACCCUGCAUCACGCGCUCCUGCCAUCUAUCAUGCACACCUGCCUUCCCUCGUCACUUGCAUCAGCAUUAUUGGACUCACCUGGACUCACUUAUCUCCUGUUAAUUUCCUCCCCUAUAAUUGUCUGUUCCCUAGCUCUAUUCCUUGCUGCGUCGUUGUAUUGUUUUUGUCUCUUGGAUUUGUUUUUGACGCUGUCUAUGUCAGUCAUUUACUAAAUGUUUAAUCCCAGUACCUGCUUCGUCCCUCCAGCGUCAUUCCGCAUGACAUACACAUGUGUGAUGAAAACCCUGUAUGACUGCUGCAUUGCUGCAGAUGACAUCCUCUGCAGUCUGGACAGUAUAGGACACAGGACCAGUCAGCAAUGAAUGUAGCAGAAACCCACUUUGGUCCUUUGAGGCUCAUCUGUACUGGCUGUGGUCCUGCCCAUCAUCUUGAUUCUACUUGUGUUGGUAUUCUUUCUAUCAUUCAUGUUGUGGCAUCGCAUGAUAGGCAAGAAAGGUAACACCAUCCUCUGUCAAACAUCCUAUAGAUCAGAUUCAGAAAUGUGUAAGAGGCGUAGUUCAAUAUUCCAAGAGGUGAAAACUCUUCAUUCUUAUGAUCUGGGUAGACCAGAGUCAAUCCAUCUCAAGUGUGCAUAAUCCCAGUGACACCAGUUGAUUUGCUACAAGGUGGUAGACCUUGAAUCAGAGACAAAGUAUCAACUGAAGAGGGGAGAAAAGAGAGCAAUACAGAACAAAAGUCUAUCUUUCUGGUAAGAGGGAUAAAGCCUACAAUUUAUAGAAAGUUGCUGUCCCUUAUUCUCAUAAUGAUCACUGCCACUCCCCUUUGUAUAAUCCUGUCCUUUAUUCCUCUCUUAUUUUCCAUUGUGUUGUGGAUGACCUGUAGCUACAUAGAGAAGGUCUGAUGUGGAGAGUCAACUGGAAGAAGGUAGAGUAAGAUGAUGCACUUUACUUGUCCAAGUCACAUGAUCAUACAGCACAUCAGUUUCUGAAUAUUGCUACGUGGAAGUUUUGUCUAAACAGAAAAACACUAAAUGAUGUGUUAAUGAAUGCCCCAUUGUUUCUGUUUCAUCUUAAUAGCAACUCAUUCUUCAGGUGAGGGAGUUUGUUUACAUGUAGUCAUUUUUAAAUGGUUUCCGCUGUUCUAUAUUAUUUUACAUUUACUGUCAAUUACAUAGUGACCCUGAACCCAAAUUAGACUCAUUGUUUGUUUUAAUUUGACAGGAGAUAGAAAUCAUCCUGACCAGUUCACAAAGACCCCAGAGGUUCCUCCGGUGUCAGAGAAAGUGCUAGAAGAGGACAGGUCUGAGAACCAGGACAGAGGAGACACACCUUAACUGGACCAGAACCUCCAGAGGACAAACUACCAUGACCCGCAGAGCGAACAAGAGGAAGAAGAAAUACUAGACCUGCACAUGAAGCCCAACAAGGAGAGACACUAGGACCUGUACACAGUAGACCACAAAUACAAGAACCAGACAAAUCAACACAUGCAGGAGUCCAGCCAGGAGAUUCAGUCAGGGGAACCAGCCAGGGGAGUAAAGAGAGAAUAAUUAUGUGGAAGAAUAAGAGGAAGUAAUAAAGAGACAGACGAGGAGAAAUGGGAACAAAAUACAGAGGGGGACAUGAACGAGAGAUGAAGGACAGGAGUAGAAGGAAUCAGACACAGAGAAUGAAGGAGUUGAUACCAACCAAACAUCCACCCAGAAUGAUGAGAUGGAUGAGACGCAUAUAAUAAACCCCAAUGAGCAGCACAUUGCCCAGACUACACUACAGAGACAGUCCUGUGAAUCACCAGCAUCCCCAGAUAGCAAAGAAAAAAUAAAGGACAUGAGUCACCCAUCCCAGACCCCAAUGAGCAGCACAUUACCCAUAAUACACCACAGAGGCUGUCCAGUGACUCCGCAGAAGACCCAGAAAGAAUUGAUGACACACCCGCCCCAGACCCCAAGGAGCAGCACAUUAUCCACAGUCCGCUACAGGCGCAGUCCAGUGACUCCCUUUGAUGACCGCCAAGAGAAGGGGCACAGAGAAAGUAAAAAUAAAUGCAUCCUUCAGUAAUUUGCAAUUCACUUGUAUUGAAGAUUAUCCACAAACUGUAACACUUCUUUGUACCAGUAGGGGUCAGUGUUCUUUAGCGUUUCCAUCUACUACUUCCUUUGCAGGGUCCAUUUUUUUAUUUCAGUGUGGUAAGACUGUUUUUGUGACAGUUGUUGUGAAUACAUACAUUACAACAAAAAUAUACAAAUAUGUAUGUUUGUGAUGGUGAUCCUGUUUUGAGCUGUGGCAAAUUUCUUUAUAAACCAAUGGCAAAUUUGACUGUUUAUUUUAGAGAGGUUUUCCACAGCUUAUUACACUUACAUAUAGUAAUUUAGCAGACGCUCUUAUCCAGAGAGACUUACUUUCGACACAUGUACUUAUUGUAAGUGAAUCAACUAUGCAUCAGUCAUCGCAAGUAAGACACAAUCAGAUGAACAACAGCUGCUCAAUGAUUAUGACCCCUUGAAGAUACAGCCAGUUCAUUGUUGGUUCACUAAUUGAUUUUGCCUUGCAGAUAAUGCAUUUUUGUUUGAGUUUCAUACCAAAUACUCAUACUGACACAGUACUUUCUUAGUCUAGUAUUUACUUAGCAUGAUAAUUCACCUUCCUAAUCCACAGAUUGGCUCCUACAAACAAUACACAAAGACAAACUGCAUCUCAGUAGCUAAUGAAAAGAAUACUCAGCGCACAAAAAAGAACAAGAGAACAAGCUAAUCCUAAACCAAAUGCCAGGCUGGUCUAGAUUUCCAAAGGGAAUAGGUAUCUUUAUCGGUCAGACCUGGUUAGUUUAACCCCAGAGUCAGAGAGGGGCCUCUGAUCUGCUACCAGCUGACCUGUGGGUCCAGAGCACCAGAGGAGAAUGAACACUAUCGGUUUCUGUGGUCACAACAAAUACCAGGGGAAUAUUAAUAUAUUGAAUUAUUCUGGAGGCGCGGAGGUGGGCGGGUAUGGGAAUAAUAAUGCAGUUCCUCAGAGAUGGUGUUGAUGUCUUGCUGGCAGUAGGAGAGCUCUGGUCCUGUUCUCCUUCUACUGGCUGGGAUUGUAGGUUCAACUCCCUAUGCCUCCCUUUCUGCAUCCAACCUCUUACUUUAACACUCAUUGUUUCAGGGUUACAUUUACAUUUACAUUUUAGUCAUUUAGCAGACGCUCUUAUCCAGAGCGACUUACAGUAGUGAAUGCAUACAUUUCAUACAUUUUCUUCACAUCAUGGAGGUACACAUCUUUUGCAUUUCAGUAGUUCUGUCAAAGUUGUUUGGAGUUUUUCCAGUUUAUAGAGCUCACCAGCUUGUAGUCCUAAAAACCGAAAAUGAGUUACCUCUGGUUCGUUCAGCCCUUCCUAUGGGAAAAAUGAGUUACCUCUGGUUCGUUCAACCCUUCCUAUGGGAAAAAUGAGUUAUUUUUAUAUUUUUCAGUUGUAACAGUCAGGGUUGAUGCCUGACUGUUACCACUGGCAUUAACAGUCGUUGAUUCUCAUAAAUACGACCCCCUGGGACAAAGGACCGAGCGAUCCAUGAGGUCACAAUAUACUGACAUGAUUUUCUAGUCUAAAAAGUAACAUUUUUGAAAAAUCACAUUCAAGACAUAACAGCAGUGUGGUCAACAAAACCCAUUUCUGCCUUUUCUAUGUGAGUGCCCAUUUCCUGUUGGAGCCUAAUGUUCUCCUAGACAGGGGCCCAAUUUAAGUUUACACUUUAGAUUGUUUGGGUCUAGUUUGGCUCCUCUUCUACUUGAAAGAGACAGAGAGAGUGUGAGAGAGAGAGAGAGAGAGAGAGAGAGACACCCUUGAUUAGCAUGCUGGGUUGUUUAAAUUGCCUCCUGGAGUGCCGAGGUAGAAUCGAACAAUAUCCUCUGGCUUUAGACUCCAUAGCCCAAUGGCCCCAUAGCUUGUCAUUUAUUUGAAUGCAUCAGGAUUAAGAUAGAGAGGCCUACCUGGCACCACUCCACUGGGGAAGCUGGCUCGCUGGCUGCUGAGCCCAAGGCGGACAGAUCCUAGUGGCUUAUGAUGAAUCAAUUCAUAUCAGUUCAAUAAAAGUGGCUGGAUGAAUGCCUCUUUUUGUGCCACGGUUUAUAGUGAUAGAACAAACUCUGUGCCCAUGGUCAUUAUGUGAAUGUAUAAUUUAGCAUGGCCAAGACACCAUAAUUCAAUAUUAAAUGAGACUCCUUUGCAAUUAUUGUCUCGGACCUCAAUUCAGGCCUGGUUUAUCUCCAGAUCCCCUUUUAAUUGGAAUACCAGGAGUGACUAAGAGGUAAUUGUUCAGCGGAAUUGUUAUCACUUCGUAUUGACUGCGUCUGUCUUCCAGGAUGCUGUGGAGGUUUAUUACUGUACCAGGCCUAAUCUGUAAACUCCAUUCUGCUGCUAACAUUUGGUCAUCAUGCAACAUUUAAGAGGGCCCAAGGCACACACACUUAAGUAUCCAGGGCAAUAAGAAAUAUUGUGUACUUUCCUGUCCACCAGGAGAGGAGAGGCACAGACAGUGUUGGUGUUAUUUGCGAUUCUAUGCUUUUGCUUUUGCUUUUACAGGUUAGGCCACUUCCUUUAGGAUGCAUUAAUAAAAUCCUUGAAAACCGUUUUGCUUCUUUCACAAAGCGUUUCUUCAUAGAAUGUCAUUUUUCUGAACCUUUCACACUGUCAUUGAAGG
rnacentral:lncRNA from 1 species